rnacentral:rRNA from 1 species
UAUCGUUGACAAUAUAGUAAUAACAUCAAACAGUAAUUCAAAGGGGUUAUUAAGGAAAAACUAGCAAAUUUAUAAAAAAGGAGGGCACAAGUCCAAAAGCCACAAUUUACCGAAAGGUGAUCAAGUUUCAUUAGAUUUAUUUAAUGUUGACAAAGAAUGUAGGCGAUCCUAAGGGAAACCUUUAUAUUUAAACUUCCCGAAGUAAAACAUUUCAUUAGGGAAAGGAAAGGAAAUCAACCGAGACUCCGAAAGUAAUGGCGAGUGAAAUCGGACUAGCCUUUAUUUAAAAAUAAAUUUAACAAAAAUACACACCAGAAACCAAAGAAGGUAAAACAGUCCUGUAUGUUAAAUCUUUUUAAAACUAAUGUUUAAAUAAGUAUUAUUAAAUUAAAAUUUAUUUAAAUAAUGAGUACGACGAGAGCGAACUUGUCGGAAUAUAGGGGAACCAUCCUCUAAGGCUAAGUAUUUAUAAAUUUAGCGAUAGUGAAAAGUACCGUGAGGGAAAGUUUGAAAUAGUUAUGUAAUUUUAGACAUAAAUGAAAUAGUUGAAUUAGUAACUCUAUAAGCAGUCGAAAUUUAUAAUUAUAAAUGACGGCGUACCUUUUGCAUAAUGGGUCAGCAAGUUAAUAGGAGUAGCAAGGUUAAAAGCCUUAGUGAAAGCGACCACACUAACUAGCUAAAAGUAUUCUUAAUUUCAUAGAUAUUAAGAAUAGGAUAUCCUUCAUAGUCAUAAGGCUAAGAAGUUAAAUAUUUUCUAGGAAUAUAGUGAUGGGUAAGUUACUUCUAUUAGACCCGAAGCUAGGUGAUCUUCCUAAGACCAGAUUAUAAUGGAUCGAACGGGUGAAUGUAGCAAAAUUCUCCGAAGAGUUUUAGGAAGCGGUGAAAUGCCAAUCUGACCUAGUGAUAGCUGGUUUUCUACGAAACAUAUGUAAGUAUGACAUCUAAACAAAAUUUAUGGUGGUACAGCACUGAGUUCCCAACUAUUUCUUUUUUUUAAAGAAAAGUUUAGGUUGCGGGGACGUCGAAAAUCUUACCAAUGGAAGAGAAUCUCGGAAUGACAUAAAUUGAUGAUAGAUAUUCAGACUGCUCAUGCGAAGUUGGGUAGUCAAGACGGAAACAGCCGAGAACACGAAACAAGGUCCCAAAUGAUUUUUAAGUGAAAUGAAGGAAGUAAUAUAUUGAAUGCAGCUGUAAAGUGAGCCUGGUAGUCGCUAUCUUUUAAUAAACGUAAUGUAACAACGUAGCAGCCUUAAACAAUAGAAUAUUACACCAAAAAUUUAACGGGUCUCAAAAAAUCAACCGAUAUCGUGUUUAUUUUGAAUAAUAAAAAUUAAUAUUCAAUAUACAGGUAGUAGAACAUUCAGUAUACUGAUGAUAAAACAGUGUUUCAUUGUUUUUAGGUCACUGAAGAGAGAAUGCUGACAUGAGUAACGUAAAAAGAAGUUAUAAUACUUCUCGCCGAAUACGAAAGGGUUGUAAGGAAAGGUUAAACCACCUUAUGUUAAUGCGGCCUCUAAGGAACAAAACCAAAGUUUUGUCUGAUGAGUAUGAAUUAGAAAGUCCAUUUUUAAAAAUAAAAAUUUAAUAAAGGGACCAGGAAAAGAAUAUAUUCUUAACUACCGUACCCUAAACCGACACAGGUUCGUAAGUAGAGUAUACUAAGGCGUAGAGCUAAAAGUUGUUAAGGAACUCGGCAAGUUCUCCUCAUAAGUUUGACGAUAAGAGGAACCCGAUAAGGGUGGCACAAAAUCGGAGGCCCCGACUGUUUACUAAAAACACAAUUCAGAGCAAUGAUGAAAAAUCAUAGUAUUCUGGAUGAAAUUUGCCCAAUGCCAUUAACAUAAAAGAGGUUAUGGGUAACUGUAACUGAUUGAAAGUCUGGUUAAUAGCGGUCUUAACUAUGAGGAUCCAAAGGUAGCAAAAUAAAUUGGCCAUUAAAUGUGGUCUGGUAUCAAUAGUGUAACGAUGGUCUCACUGUCUCUACAACUUGCUCAGUGAAAUUGAAUUACCCGUGCAGAUGCGGGUUGCCUCCAGGUGGACGGGAAACUUAAAUUAUAUCUGGAAACCCUAUGCAGCUUUACUGUAGUUAGCUAUCAUAUUGAUCUACAACAACCUUAGUUAAUAGUAAUUAGGGAUGUCGAAUUGACGAAAGAUGGAAUACCUUCUGACUUUGGUUGGGUUAAUAUUUACCUUUUUAAGUAAAAUAUUAUAUAUGACUCAAAAUUUUCUUUUGUUUAUUCUAUUCAUAUUCUGUUAUAUAGUGUAAUAUGGUAUAAAGCUUAUAAGGGAUAGGUGGCUAAUUGGCAGUUUGACUGGGGCGGUCGUCUUUGAUAAAGUAGCAAAGUACAUCCAAAGAUAUUUAUUUAUUAGAAACAAUCUUUUUUUAAAAAGAUACUUACUAAAAAUUCAUAGUAUCUAUAUAAACUAUGAAGAAUAUAAUUUAUUAUAUUUUUAUUAACUUAAGGUAUAGCUAGAAAAUUGAAUGGAAAUCAAUCAACCAGUGUGAAAGGUUGUAAUAGGCGUAAUGGCGGAAAGCAUGCCUAACUGAAAGACUUAGAAGUCGAACAGAUACGUAAGUAGGGCAUAGUGACCCUUCGCUAUAUUAUGGAAUAGACGGGGAUCAAUCGAUAAAAGUUACGCUAGGGAUAACAGGCUGAUAGCUGGUGAGAGUACACAUUGUCCCGGCUGUUUGGCACCUCGAUGUCGACUCAACCUAUCCUCCGGGGGUAGAAGCUUGGAAGGGUUCGGCUGUUCGCCGAUUAAAAGGUUACGCGAGUUGGGUUUAAUACGACGUGAGUCAGUAUGGUCCCUAUCUUCUGGAGGGAUAAAUAGUAAAAAGGGGCAGACCUUCUAGUACGAAAGGAUCAAUAGGCUGUGUUUCUCUAGUGUACCAAUUGUAAUUCUCUAUUCUAAAAAUUUUUAAAGGAUUAAAGAAAGAUUAAAGCAUAGUUGGGUAGCCACAAACAUGAUAGAUAAGCGCUGAAUGAAUAUUAAGCAGGAAGCUAUCCCCUAGAUACUAUCUUAUUGAUUAUCUUUUUAAUUGAUAUUUUAUUAGUUUUCUUUUUAAUCAAUGUGAAUAAGAAAUAGAACAUUUCUAAAUAGGAUGCAAAUGAAAGUGCUGUAAAGUAUUUAGUUUAGCAUUACUAAUUUAUUAUAUAGACUGGA